rnacentral:rRNA from 1 species
UUGAACGCUGGCGGCAGGCCUAACCCAUGCCAGUCGAACGGUAACAGGAAGAAGCUUGCUUCUUUGCUGACGAGUGGCGGACGGGUGAGUAAUGUCUGGGAAACUGCCUGAUGGAGGGGGAUAACUACUGGAAACGGUAGCUAAUACCGCAUAACGUCGCAAGACCAAAAAGGGGGACCUUCGGGCCUCUUGCCAUCGUAUGUGCCCAGAUGGGAUUAGCUAGUAGGUGGGGUAACGGCUCACCUAGGCGACGAUCCCUAGCUGGUCUGAGAGGAUGACCAGCCACACUGGAACUGAGACACGGUCCAGACUCCUACGGGAGGCAGCAGUGGGGAAUAUUGCACAAUGGGCGCAAGCCUGAUGCAGCCAUGCCGCGUGUAUGAAGAAGGCCUUCGGGUUGUAAAGUACUUUCAGCGGGGAGGAAGGGAGUAAAGUUAAUACCUUUGCUCAUUGACGUUACCCGCAGAAGAAGCACCGGCUAACUCCGUG